CUUUGAAAGCUUGGAUUUUAGCACAUAAGAAAGUCUGAUAAAAUAAAUCUGGACAUCCAAAGGGUUGUUGGGUAUCGCCAAUGGUGUAAUAAACUUUGGAAUGCUGUGCGAUUUGCCAUGAGCAAACUUGGAGAUAAUUACACCCCUCCAACAAAUGUGGUUCCAGAUAUCAUGCCAUUUAACUGCCAGUGGAUUCUCUCCGUGUUGAACAAGGCCAUAUCAAAAACUGUGACAUCACUGGACUCGUAUGAAUUUUCUGAUGCUGCUACUGUAGUAUAUUCAUGGUGGCAGUUCCAGUUGUGUGAUGUGUUUAUUGAAGCCGCCAAGCCCUACUUUGCCAGUGAUGCUCAAGCAUUUGCUUUUGAAAGGAGUUAUGCACAAGACACCUUGUCGGUGUGUCUGGAAUAACUAAUUGGAUGAUGGGUUCUAUUGCUGUUUGUUUUGGUUGUUUAUCAUUUAUAAUGUGCUGGACAAAUGAGAAAGUAGAGUAUGAGAUGGAUAUGAUUGAGUCAGCCGUGAAAUCACUCAGGUCACUCAGGGCGUUGAUGCCUGCAAAAGAAAGGCAUGAAAGCACUCUCCGGUUGGCGUGAUGAGUUACGUAAAGACAUUGAACAGCUGUGUAUGCAGCAAGCUGGUCCUGGUUACCUUGCUGUGGCUACUCGAAUGCAUUUUCAGAGGACAGCUGGCUUGGAGCAGGAGAUUGAGAGCUUGAAAAAGAAGUUAACUGCUUGCACUAGAGAGAAGUUAAAUCUCCAAGAGGAGCUUUCUCAAGUCCUUCCUGUAACAUUGAUGGGAAGGGCUGGGGAUGGUUUGAAAUAAAACAAACUUCACAUGACACAACUCCUGUUUCUAGCACUAGGACAAAAUUUUACAUUCCUUAAUGAGCUAAGAUUAGCUCUAAUAUCACCCAUUUCUAUCUUCUUGACUCCUUUCCCUUCCAAACAUGAUACAUAGUACCAGCAAGGGUCAACCUGUAAACAUAAUCUGUAAUAGCCUUACCUCCACACUCUUCAGCAAAAGUCAGGCAUUCUUCUACCAGGAAGAAUUCUCCUCAAAAGAACAGUCCAAGUAUAUGCUGAAAAAUAUUAACAAAAAAAUAAAUGAUCGUGAUCAAACCCAUUGCACAAUACACACAUGUUUUCAGAAACAAUCCCCCACUUAAACAUUCUAUCCAUUGUAGCCAGUCCUCACUGAACAGCAACCCAUUACACAAAGCUCCACUUAGGAACAUUUUGAGGCAACCAUGCCAAUUUAUGUCAAGGGACGAUAGGGUAUAGUGUUUGAAUUGCUUGCCACGCUAUUCACCAUUACUAGAGGGUAGCCAAAACACGGAGUCAGGCCUAUUAGGAUUCAAUACAAAGCUAGCAGGGUAUUAGCUUCAAUCUCAGAACAGCAACCAAUUGCACAAAGCUCCACUUAGCAACAUUUUGAGGAAACCAUGCCAAUUUAUGUCAAGGGACGAUAGGGAAUACCAUUUGAAUUGCUUGCCAAGCUGAAGCCACAUUAUAUUCACCAUUACUAGAGGGUAGCCAAAACACUGAGUCAGGCCUAUUAGGAUUCGAUACGAAGCUAGCAGGGGUAUUAGCUUUAAUCUCAGUAAUAACCACUCUUCUACCUCUAGGCCACUUCCAAUUCCCAAAAUUAAUGAUAAGAGGAAACUCUGCUAUUCACAGCCAUGCCCAUAUGAAAAGCAACCCUUUCCCCAUAUUUCUUAUUCAAAGGACCCAAGGGAUGCCAAUUAUCAAAUCGCGGAAAUGUAACAGUCCCAUCACCAAUGAUAUAUUGAUCAAAGGCUGCCCCACAGCUCUUAGUUCAAAAAACUUCCUGACAGUCCAAGAUGCCUCAGUAGGAAGACACUUACCCUUAAUUACACAAGUAUGGACCCACUUAACCCACAAAGAAUCAGCUUUCUUACUUAAAGCCCACAAAGGUUGUCUUAGCAUAGUGGCCUUAUUCCACUCUCUCAAAUUUCUGAAUCCCAAGCCCUCUUCAGCCUUUGGUGCACAAAUAUGCAUC